rnacentral:rRNA from 1 species
UACGUAGGGUGCAAGCGUUAAUCGGAAUUACUGGGCGUAAAGCGUGCGCAGGCGGUUCGUUAAGACAGAUGUGAAAUCCCCGGGCUUAACCUGGGAACUGCAUUUGUGACUGGCGAGCUAGAGUAUGGCAGAGGGGGGUAGAAUUCCACGUGUAGCAGUGAAAUGCGUAGAGAUGUGGAGGAAUACCGAUGGCGAAGGCAGCCCCCUGGGCCAAUACUGACGCUCAUGCACGAAAGCGUGGGGAGCAAACAGG